AACGCGAAGAACCUUACCUGGAUUUGACAUCCUCUGAACGGCGGAGAGAUUCGUCUUCUGUAGUAAUACAGCAGAGAGACAGGUGCUGCAUGGCUGUCGUCAGCUCGUGUGGUGACAUGUUGGGUUAAGUCCCGCAACGAGCGCAACCCCUGUCUUUAGUUGCCAGCAUUAAGUUGGGCACUCUAAAGAGACUGCCGUGGUGAACACGGAGGAAGGUGGGGAUGACGUCAAGUCCUCAUGGCCUUUAUGUCCAGGGCGACACACGUGAUACAAUGGACGGUACAAAGGGACGCCAAGAGGCAACUCGGAGCUAAUCUCAAAAAGCCGUUCUCAGUUCGGAUUGGAGUCUGCAACUCGACUCCAUGAAGUUGGAAUCGCUAGUAAUCGCGGAUCAGCACGCCGCGGUGAAUACGUUCCCGGGCCUUGUACACACCGACAUA
rnacentral:rRNA from 1 species